CCCUCUUCUUCUACUCCAUCAUCACAAGUGCCGUGUGGUCCACUGGUUUGGACAGCUUACGUCACCCUCUUCCCCUACCACUCUCUCAGCUCCCUCCACCUACAAUAGAUAAGGGAGAGACCUCUUGAUUUAGAAGGUAUCAAACUCUUCAUUGUAGAAAUCUAUCCACGUGAUCGUGAUCACUUCAGGGAAUUGGAUCCUUAAAAGUACAAGGUUUCCAUUGUGUUUAUACCCGAAAGAUCCAACACCAGCUCACCCCACCAAGAAAAUGAGAUGCUCUGAAAAUCAUGCCAAUCCAACCAUCAACUGCGCCAACAUGCAAAUUUGGAGGCUUAUGUUGUGGCCCACUUAAUGAUUAGAUUAGCCUGAUCUCUAAGCUGUCCAAUUUUUUUAUGGUGGACCAUCCUUGUGGAUGGUUUAGAUUACAUGCACCGUGAUGGUCUGACUCUUAUCUAGCAUCCUUGUACCUGAUGGCUACAUAUUUCUCUAAUCCCUCCUUAUUGAGCGCCACAGAUAGAAAAAUGAUUGUGAUAAUUCAUUUUAAUUGAUAUCACUCUUUGUUCAAUUGAUAUGAAUUAUAUGGGAAAAUGAUUGUGAUCAUUCAUUUA